AGAAAACAGACAUGGGAAAGGAAACAAGAGUAAUGGAUCAGACCAUGAAAAGGUUAUACUUGACAAGAGUACUUCUCAACAGAAAUCGGUGAAAGAUGCAUCAGAAACUGAAGUGGAAGUUUCUUUCACUGAAUACCUAAGUACUAAUUUAUCUCAAGACUCUAUGGAGAUGAGUGAAGAAAAAGACCAGUCUAGGAUCAACAAGGGAAGCGAAUCAUUCCUGGUGGGUCUCCUCAGGAAGGGCUUUGGGGAUUUCUCAAGAUCUAAACACCACGUGGAGGGUGAAACUGAAGAAUCUAAUAUUUCUGUUAAUGGGCAACCUAUUCCAGACAGUAUGGUGAAAAGGGCUGAAAAGCUAGCUGGGCCAAUUCUUCCUGGAGAUUACUGGUAUGAUUUUGAAGCUGGAUUUUGGGGUGUGAUGGGACAACCUUGCCUUGGCAUAAUUCCUCCUUUUAUUAAGGAGUUUAAUUAUCCCAUGCCAGAAAAUUGUGGUGCUGGAAACACCAGUGUCUUUGUCAAUGGGAGAGAACUUCAUCAGAAAGAUUUAGAUCUACUUGCCAGUAGAGGACUUCGAUAAGUUCUAUACUGUUUCAAUUUCAGGAGAAGUUCUUGACCAGGAAUCCGGCAUGGAGCUAAAAAGCCUUGGUAAACUUGCCCCUAC
rnacentral:misc_RNA from 1 species